AAUUUUGGACAAUGGGGGAAACCCUGAUCCAGCCAUCCGGCGUGUAUGAUGAAGGCCCNCUGGUUNUNACGUACUUUUUGCAGAGNGGAAAAGGUACCUCCUAAUACGAGGUACUGCUGACGGUAUCUGCAGAAUAAGCACCGUCUAACUACGUUCCAGCCGCCGCGGUAAUAAGUAGGGUGCAAGCGUUAAUCGGUAUUAUUUGGCGGAAAGAAUGUGGAGGCGGUUGGGAAAGAAAGGUGAGGAGUACAAGGGCUCCACCAUGGAAGUGCAUCUUUGACUACCGGGCUAGAGUAUGUCAGAGGGGGGUAGAAGUACACGUGUAGCAGUGGAAUGAGUAGUUAUGUGGAGGAAUACCGAUGGCGGAGGCAGCCCCCUGGGAUAAUACUGACGCUCAGACACGAAAGCGUGGGGAGCAAACAG
rnacentral:rRNA from 1 species